rnacentral:rRNA from 1 species
AGCGGACAGAAGGGAGCUUGCUCCCGGAUGUUAGCGGCGGACGGGUGAGUAACACGUGGGUAACCUGCCUGUAAGACUGGGAUAACUCCGGGAAACCGGAGCUAAUACCGGAUAGUUCCUUGAACCGCAUGGUUCAAGGAUGAAAGACGGUUUCGGCUGUCACUUACAGAUGGACCCGCGGCGCAUUAGCUAGUUGGUGGGGUAAUGGCUCACCAAGGCAACGAUGCGUAGCCGACCUGAGAGGGUGAUCGGCCACACUGGGACUGAGACACGGCCCAGACUCCUACGGGAGGCAGCAGUAGGGAAUCUUCCGCAAUGGACGAAAGUCUGACGGAGCAACGCCGCGUGAGUGAUGAAGGUUUUCGGAUCGUAAAGCUCUGUUGUUAGGGAAGAACAAGUGCGAGAGUAACUGCUCGCACCUUGACGGUACCUAACCAGAAAGCCACGGCUAACUACGUGCCAGCAGCCGCGGUAAUACGUAGGUGGCAAGCGUUGUCCGGAAUUAUUGGGCGUAAAGGGCUCGCAGGCGGUUUCUUAAGUCUGAUGUGAAAGCCCCCGGCUCAACCGGGGAGGGUCAUUGGAAACUGGGAAACUUGAGUGCAGAAGAGGAGAGUGGAAUUCCACGUGUAGCGGUGAAAUGCGUAGAGAUGUGGAGGAACACCAGUGGCGAAGGCGACUCUCUGGUCUGUAACUGACGCUGAGGAGCGAAAGCGUGGGGAGCGAACAGGAUUAGAUACCCUGGUAGUCCACGCCGUAAACGAUGAGUGCUAAGUGUUAGGGGGUUUCCGCCCCUUAGUGCUGCAGCUAACGCAUUAAGCACUCCGCCUGGGGAGUACGGUCGCAAGACUGAAACUCAAAGGAAUUGACGGGGGCCCGCACAAGCGGUGGAGCAUGUGGUUUAAUUCGAAGCAACGCGAAGAACCUUACCAGGUCUUGACAUCCUCUGACAACCCUAGAGAUAGGGCUUUCCCUUCGGGGACAGAGUGACAGGUGGUGCAUGGUUGUCGUCAGCUCGUGUCGUGAGAUGUUGGGUUAAGUCCCGCAACGAGCGCAACCCUUGAUCUUAGUUGCCAGCAUUUAGUUGGGCACUCUAAGGUGACUGCCGGUGACAAACCGGAGGAAGGUGGGGAUGACGUCAAAUCAUCAUGCCCCUUAUGACCUGGGCUACACACGUGCUACAAUGGACAGAACAAAGGGCUGCGAGACCGCAAGGUUUAGCGAAUCCCAUAAAUCUGUUCUCAGUUCGGAUCGCAGUCUGCAACUCGACUGCGUGAAGCUGGAAUCGCUAGU